GCUGGGCACAGUGGUGCACACCUGUAAUCUCAGUGGCUUGGGGGUUGAGGCAGGAGGAUCACAAGUUCAAAGCCAGCCUCAGCUAAAGUGAGGUGCUUAGCAACUCAGUGAGAACCUGUCUCUA
rnacentral:sRNA from 1 species